rnacentral:rRNA from 1 species
GUCCACGCCCUAAACGAUGUCUAUUAGUUGUUGGGUUUUAAUUAACUUAGUAACGAAGCUAACGCGCGAAAUAGACCGCCUGGGGAGUACGGCCGCAAGGUUAAAACUCAAAGGAAUUGACGGGGACCCGCACAAGCGGUGGAUGAUGUGGAUUAAUUCGAUGCAACGCGAAAACCUUACCUACACUUGACAUGUCUAGAACUUUCCAGAGAUGGAUUGGUGCUCGAAAGAGAGCUAGAACACAGGUGCUGCAUGGCUGUCGU